rnacentral:rRNA from 1 species
UACAGAGGGUGCAAGCGUUGUUCGGAAUUAUUGGGCGUAAAGGGAGUGUAGGCGGUCUUUUAAGUCUUCUGUGAAAUCUACGGGCUUAGCCUGUAACGUGCAGAGGAAACUGGAAGGCUUGAGUGUCGGAGAGGAGUAGGGGAAUACCCAGUGUAGAGGUGAAAUUCGUAGAGAUUGGGUGGAACACCAGUGGCGAAGGCGCCUAAUCUGGCUGACAACUGACGCUGAGACUCGAAAGCAUGGGGAGCAAACAG